rnacentral:rRNA from 1 species
CCUGAUGACCAUAGCAAGUUGGUACCACUCCUUCCCAUCCCGAACAGGACCGUGAAACGACUUUGCGCCGAUGAUAGUGCGGGCUCCCGUGUGAAAGUAGGUCAUCGUCAGGC